AUAGGCGCCUCCCCCAACUACCAGCCCCACCUCGGCUGCUGCUCCACAGCAGGAGGGCACAGCCCCAGCCCCCGCAGGGCUAGGGACCCGUGUACGGGGAGCAGGCCGGGUGCCCUGGGAUGAACUUGAGGCCCAGCACUGCCAGCUUCCAGCUGUGGGAAGGGCUGGUGGCAAGAGGGACCCGGAAGCAGCACUGGGCCCGAGGGCGGAGAUCAAGGGACGUCUCCCUAAGGGUGGCCCGGCGCACUGGCUGCCAUCUCCAGGUCUAUGAAAAAUAAGAUAAUAUUAAAAUUAAAUUCUGACUCCAAAGACUCCAAUAAGUAAUACAAUAGGAAAAGUGACUAACACAACUUUAAACUGUAAUAACAGAAAGACAGUGGCUAACAGGCUGAAUGAACACAGCCUGAGAAGUAAGAGAGAUUAUGACCCAGGAGUGAACUACUUGGUCCACCACUCACUAUCUGUGCUACUUUUACAACCCUCCGACUCUUUGAACUAUGGGAUGCCAUCUGUAAAACAGAGACAAAAUCUUCCUCCUGGGUUACUGUGAACACUGAAUGAUACAGGAGUAUGAAAAGCAUCAGUACUGUGCUGGCAUAAAGGUUCAAAAAAUGCUCAGUAUUCUUCAUAUUCAGUUCUGAGUACAAUUUAAGAUGGACAUUGUGACCAACUGGAACAUACUUAGAAGGACAACAGAAGAUGAAAAGAGACCCCCCAAAAAAACACCUGAAAAGGCACCUGAAGCAACUAGCUUGGACUCAAGACAGUAAAGGAGAUACGAUGACGGAACAUUUAAAGGACACAUAUGGAAGCAAACUUAUUUAGUAAAGUUCAGGAAAACAAAGCUUUUACAAAUUACAGGGAGGCAGAUUUUUAGUGCUCUGUAAAAAAGAACAUGUUAAAAAAUGGAAUAGAUCGCAGGGCGCAGUGGCUCACGCCUGUAAUCCCAAUACUUUGGGAGGCCAUGGCAGGCGGAUCACCUGAAGUCAGGAGUUUGAGACCAGCCUGGCCAACAUGGCAAAACCCCAUCUCUACUAAAAAUACAAAAAUUAGCUGGGUGUGGUAAUGGGCGCCUGUAAUCCCAGCUAUUCAGGAGGCUGGGGCUGGAGAAUCACAUGAGCCCAGGAAGCAGAGAUUGCAGCGAGCCCAGAUCAUGCUGCUGCACUCCAGCCUGGGCAACAGAGCCAGACUCCAUCUCAAAAAAUAAUAAUAAUUUUUUUAAAAAAGAAAUAUACACUUAAAAACUCUUUAAAUUAUUUAUCUUAAAAUAGAAGAGAAAUUUAAUACAUAUAGAAGCUUUUAGCUUCAAAGGUACCUUUAAAACCUUACAUUAAACAAGAAAGGUGGAAAAUAAAGUGCUCCAAGACUUACACUUUGCUUCUGACAGAUUUUGAUUGGGUGACCAGACCAACAUGCCAAGAUUGUCGCGUUCUUGACUGCGUCUUGCCAGUUUGGCU